rnacentral:rRNA from 1 species
UUGUCAGCAGCCGCGGUAAUACCGGCAGCCCAAGUGAUGGCCGAUCUUAUUGGGCCUAAAGCGUCCGUAGCUGGUCACGCAAGUCCAUCGGGAAAUCCACCUGCCCAACAGGUGGGCGCCCGGUAGAAACUGCGUGGCUUGGGACCGGAAGGCGCGACGGGUACGUCCGGGGUAGGAGUGAAAUCCCGUAAUCCUGGACGGACCGCCGAUGGCGAAAGCACGUCGCGAGAACGGAUCCGAAAGUGAGGGACGCAAGCCAGGGUCUCGCACCGGAUUAGAAACCCGCGGAGUCC